AAAUUGAAUACUGAAUAGGGUUGCAAAGGCAUUAAGCCGAUGCAUUAAUAAGGAAUCCGGUGAGAAGCUGGAACAGCCCCGCUACUGUAUGAAGGACGAGUCCCUUGAAGAGCCACUGGUUAGAGUCGGGAAGGCAAGGGAUAAGGAUGAUUUCGAGUCAGGAGACUUGCCCUAUUCAGAGUCACAAG
rnacentral:ncRNA from 2 species